CAGCAGCCAUCCUGGAACCUGAAUUCAUCUCGCCUGAAUUCAUGUGAUAAAGGUGGAGCUACUAUGGCCAUUCUAGACUGCCAACAUCUGGGUUCAGAUCCCAGGGCCUGCUGAGGGAAACAUCCUGAUCCUGCCCUGACAAUCGUUGAAAGAAGUUGUGCACUGACCCUAACCUAAAACUGCAACGAAGUCCAUGCCAACUCAAAUGCAGGUCAGCCUUGCACAAAUAAUGCCAAAGGUGUAAAAAAACAACAUCCGGUCAAGAUGGUGAGUAGGUAAACGUGGUGUCACGUCCUCCCACAACCACAUCAAAGUUACAACUAAACUGCACAAUCAUCAUUCAGGACCGCCUGAAAUCGCGCUGAAUGGAAGUCCUACAACUACGGAAUUAAAGAAGCAGCCGCAUCG